rnacentral:lncRNA from 1 species
AGCUCUUGCCCUUUUCGCCCUUAUCGGAGUUAUCGGUGUAGCUCUUGGUGCCGGGUACGGCGGUUAUUCAAGCGGAUACACCUAUAUGCCAGCAUACGGACAAGGACAGAGUGCUGGUGGAAUUGGAGAUGGCUCUUUCUUGUACCUGAUUAUGUUCCUGUUCCUGUUCCUGAUCCUGUUCCAGGGCAACCUCUUCAACACCACCUCUAGCACCACACCAAUCAGGGUCAUUCAGGGUUAAUUAUGAUUUAGUUGCCAUUCGAAUAGAGCAUGCAGGACAAGUAGAACUAUCAAUCUUCCAACCAUGGUUGUAUUCGUAUUUCAUGUUGACUGUCCGGAGUUUACUCGUCAUCUGUGAUAAACCAAUUAUUUAUUAGCAUUACCACUGCUCUAUUGACCUGUUUCGU